rnacentral:rRNA from 1 species
UAAGGAAUAUUGGUCAAUGGACGCAAGUCUGAACCAGCCAUGCCGCGUGAAGGAUGAAGGUCCUCUGGAUUGUAAACUUCUUUUAUCUGGGACGAAAACGGGAUUUUUAUCUCAAUUGACGGUACCAGAGGAAUAAGCACCGGCUAACUCCGUGCCAGCAGCCGCGGUAAUAAGGAGGGUGCGAGCGUUAUCCGGAUUUACUGGGUUUAAAGGGUGCGUAGGUGGGCUUAUAAGUCAGUGGUGAAAUCUCCGAGCUUAACUUGGAAACUGCCGUUGAUACUAUAGGUCUUGAAUUAUCUGGAGGUAAGCGGAAUAUGUCAUGUAGCGGUGAAAUGCUUAGAUAUGACAUAGAACACCAAUUGCGAAGGCAGCUUACUACAUAUAAAUUGACGCUGAGGCACGAAAGCGUGGGGAUCAAACA